rnacentral:rRNA from 1 species
UACGUAGGGUGCGAGCGUUAAUCGGAAUUACUGGGCGUAAAGCGUGCGCAGGCGGUUUUGUAAGCCAGAUGUGAAAUCCCCGGGCUUAACCUGGGAAUGGCAUUUGGGACUGCAAGGCUUGAGUGCGGCAGAGGAGACUGGAAUUCCUGGUGUAGCAGUGAAAUUCGUAGAUAUCGAGAGGAACACCGGUGGCGAAGGCGGCCUUCUGGACAGUGACUGACGCUGAGACGCGAAAGCGUGGGGAGCAAACAGG